AUGGAGAAAGAUGUUGAUGAAGCGAGGAAAAUUGCUCGUAUGGCCAAAACAAAACUUGAUAAACUCGAAGAAGAUAACUUAUCUAACAAGCAGAAACCUGGACGCGGGAAGGGCUCUACGGUAGAUCAAUUAAGGGAACAGACCGCUGGAGCAGUGAAGAAUAAUUUGAAGGAACAGAUCGAUGAUUUUCAGAUUAUUGAUGCUGUAAGAGAUCUAGAGAAGAAGCUUCUAGAGUUGCAGCAGAUGUUCCUGGAUAUGGCAGUAUUGGUUAAGGCUCAAGGAGACAUGAUUGACCACAUAGAGCCACAUGUUUCAAAUGCUACCAACUACAUACAACAUAGUUUGGAUGCCCUCCAGAAGGCAAAGACGUUGCAGAAGAACUCGAGAAAGUGGAUGUGCUACGCCAUAAUCGCUCUCCUGGUGAUAGUGAUAGUUGUUAUCGUCAUGCUCGUGGUUGUCAAGGCAGUGAAGAAUUCUGUGACCGAUUCACACACUCUUCUACUAUCGCUGUAUGGCUAUGAUGAACCGGACAAGUCGACAUUGGUCGCCCAUAUAUAUACUGGAGGCUCCUGCUAUUGGUUCGUGUUUGUCCUCCUAGUAUUUUUAGUGGUCAAACCGAAAUGUGCGUCCUGA
rnacentral:rRNA from 1 species